GGAAACAGCAUGAUUCUCCAGACAAAGCCAGGAAGAAUGCUCUGAUUUUCUUAUGCAGAUAUUUCCUCAAGAGUGAGUGCUUCCAGAAUAUGUGCUGUUUUUGCUUCCACUUAGCAUCAUUCCAAAUUACAGAAGUGAAAACUCCAUAUUGGAUCAUGCAGUGUAGCGUUUGCUCAGGGUCGGGAGAAGGCAUAGAAAGAAGAGAGUGUGUGACCUUCCUGACCUGGGGGGCAGAGGGCCCUGCUGGAGCUGCAUUGUCGGGCAGCUGGUAGCAGUGCACACUCAGCUCCACGCUGCUUCUGUGACACGGGGCCAGUCGAGCAACCCUGGGUAUGGCAAUGUUCCCAGUUUCCACCUCCUUCUGCCCUUGUCCCCCACCACUUUCUAUA
rnacentral:lncRNA from 1 species